rnacentral:rRNA from 1 species
GGCGGACGGGUGAGUAAUGUAUAGUUAAUCUGCCCUUUAGAGGGGGAUAACAGUUGGAAACGACUGCUAAUACCCCAUACUCCUUUUAUCUUAAUGAUAAUUGGGAAACGUUUUUCGCUAAAGGAUGAGACUAUAUGGUAUCAGGUAGUUGGUAGGGUAAGAGCCUACCAAGCCAAUGACGCCUAGCUGGUCUGAGAGGAUGAUCAGCCACACUGGAACUGAGACACGGUCCAG